CGAACGGCUCAGUAACACGUAGUCAACAUGCCCAGGGGACGUGGAUAACCUCGGGAAACUGAGAUUAAACCGCGAUAGGUCAAGAUUUCUGGAAUGGAUCGUGUCUUAAAUCUACAUGGCCCCUGGAUUGGACUGCGGCCGAUCAGGCUGUUGGUGAGGUAAUGGCCCACCAAACCUAUAACCGGUACGGGCUCUGAGAGGAGAAGCCCGGAGAUGGGCACUGAGACAAGGGCCCAGGCCCUAUGGGGCGCAGCAGGCGCGAAACCUCUGCAAUGGGCGAAAGCCUGACAGGGUUACUCUGAGUGAUUUCCGCUAAGGAGAUCUUUUGGCAGCUCUAAAAAUGGUGCAGAAUAAGGGGUGGGCAAGUCUGGUGUCAGCCGCCGCGGUAAUACCAGCACCCCGAGUGGUCGGGACGAUUAUUGGGCCUAAAGCAUCCGUAGCCGGUUGUGCAAGUCCUCCGUUAAAUCCAGCCGCUCAACGGAUGGGCUGCGGAGGAUACUACAGAACUAGGAGGCGGGAGAGGCAAGCGGUACUUAGUGGGUAGGGGUAAAAUCCUUUGAUCCAUUGAAGACCACCAGUGGCGAAGGCGGCUUGCCAGAACGCGCUCGACGGUGAGGGAUGAAAGCUGGGGGAGCAAACC
rnacentral:rRNA from 1 species